ensembl:lncRNA
UCUAUCAAGUGUUCUUGAGCGAGACAAUAAACUAAUUUAGGGGUGCAAACUGAAUAAUUAUAGAAAGAUACAAUUAAAACAAUGAUUGUGACAAACAAUUAAGCGAUAUACUUGUUAGUUGGCAUGUUGAAUUGCUGUCUUUUUUUUUUUUUUUUUUUUUUUUUUUUUUUUACUGUAUUAAAAUGGCAGAAUUGACAAAUGAAUUAUGAUAAUAACCCAUCUUUCCUGUUUCCUGUUCGGCCAUUAGUGUCCAAAAUUUUAAUAUUUUGCUUUUAACAUUUCUGACUACAUCAAAGUGUAUGUAACUGUAAGACUCAACAAACAGGUUCUGAUCACAGUAAUUACACCUGUAAUUAAUUUCUGUAAUUACGUUCAUAAUAAAGGUCCUUGCACACUGAGUCUGAAAAUUUAGUAUACGUUUUUUUUUUUUUUGUAUUCGUCAUCCUUUCCUAUCAAAAUGCUUGCUACAGAUACGAAAACACAGGAAAUCAAACCUGGUUCGAUAUUUUUAUGACGGACGAAAGUUUCGGAUGCAGUGUGUAAAUGUGAUUGACAUAACAUGAGGUCAUUUAUUUUUUAACGUGCAAAAAUUUUGGACGGAAAUUCAGGACUCAGUGUGCAAAGACCUUAACACUGUUCACCCAUCCCUUACACCUUAAAGGGGGUCGCACACCGGACGAGAAGCGCCGCGUCGCGCCACAUGUAGGACAACUCGAGGUAUCGCACACCGGACGCGCACAUUCUAUACGCGCGAGCUCAAUUUCGCAUCAAGUUCUGAGCAGCAAGAUGGAUCAAAUUUUGUCUGACAACAAAAAAACUACUGCACUGCUACUUUUACGUCGAAGAAUACAAAAAAACAAAACAAAAGAGUCAAUCGCAUUUGGGUACAUCCUCUAAAUGAAAAAAGGACACAAUAUGGCGCUUACCACCACCUUGUUCAGGAACUGCAGAUAAGCCCGGAAAAGCACCUGCAGUACUUCAGAAUGAGUACACAGCAAAUGGAGGACCUGCUGUCAAUUAUUGGACCUGACAUCACAGGGAUUUCUAUAAAUUACCGGACACCAAUUGGGC